rnacentral:rRNA from 1 species
UGAACGCUAGCGGCAGGCUUAACACAUGCAAGUCGAGGGGCAGCGUGGAGCAGCAAUGCUCNGACGGCGACCGGCGGAAGGGUGCGUAACACGUGAGCGACUUGCCCGUCACAGGGGGAUAACCGGCGGAAACGGCGACUAAUACCCCCAUACGAUGCGAUGCUGCAUGGCAUUGCAUUGAAAGAUUCAUCGGUGGCGGAUAGGCUCGCGGGACAUUAGCUAGACGGCGGGGCAACGGCCCACCGUGGCGACGAUGUCUAGGGGUUCUGAGAGGAAGGCCCCCCACACUGGGACUGAGACACGGCCCAGACUCCUACGGGAGGCAGCAGUGAGGAAUAUUGGUCAAUGGGCGGAAGCCUGAACCAGCCAUGCCGCGUGAAGGACUAAGGCCCUACGGGUCGUAAACUUCUUUAGACGCAGAGCAAUAAGGUCCACGUGUGGACCGAUGAGAGUAUGCGUAGAAUAAGCAUCGGCUAACUCCGUG